CGUAACAGAAGUCACAAUGUCUACAUUUACACUGACCAUUAGGACAAAACUACAGUUCAGGGUAUAUAUUUAAGAAAUUAAACUCUCGCUUUUGGAGUUGAGGUUAUUCCUUUUCUUUCGGCAUGAAGCUCUGGGCUGCUGUCGCUGUUCUUGGGCUCCUGAUUAUGGGGAUAUGGGCAAAGGGGGAUAAGGAAAGGUGAACUAAACAUGUAUCUCUUGAAGUUGGACUUGGAGGAGACCAAGUGUCAUGUCUUAGAUCCGACACCAGAGCCAAUGCCAACACAGACCAAAACCUUUUGCGGUAGUUGAAGCAGACUGUGAUUUUGCCAUCUAAGAAACAAAUCAAGGUCUGUCUGUUGUGGCAUUCAAGUGUAAAACAAAAACAGCUCAGGACAUGUGCGGAGGCUGCCUUUACCUCAUUCAUUUGAAUGACACAAAUGGUCUCAAGCUUGUUGAAGCCUCAUUAUGUGAUUUUAAUAAAAAGCAUAAUCUAAAUACUAAAUUUGCACUUCUUGAAAUUGGACGACUUCAAGCCCAGGUAACAUAAAAUUGAAGAGGUAACAUAAAGAUCUUCUGGUUUCUUCUGAUAUGGUUCUCUGACCAGUCUUUUCUGGGGUUCUUGGUGGCUGGCACAAAUACUUUGCCGAAUACGGCAUAAUUGGGACUAACUGCACUUGUCAUGAUGAUGAUGAAUGCAUCCCCCAGAAUCACACUGUUGCAGUAAGCACACUUA